rnacentral:rRNA from 1 species
UACGGGGUGCAGCAGGCGCGAAAACUUGGCAAUGCGAGAAAUCGUGACCAGGGAACUCCAAGUGCAUGGGGUAAGACCCAUGCUUUUCUUGACUCUAAAUAGGUCUUGGAAUAAGGGGUGGGUAAGGACGGUGCCAGCCGCCGCGGUAAUACCGGCGCCUCAAGUGGUAGUCGCUUUUAUUGGGCCUAAAACGUCCGUAGCCGGUCUGAUACAUUCGUGGGUAAAUCAACCAGCUUAACUGGUUGAAUUCUGCGAGGACGGUCAGACUUGGGACCGGGAGAGGUGUGGGGUACGCUCAGGGUAGGGGUAAAAUCCUGUCAUCCUGAGCGGACCACCUGUUGCGAAGGCGCCACACUAGAACGGAUCCGACGGUCAGGGACGAAGCCUAGGGGCACGAACCGGAUUAGAUACCCGGGUAGUCCUAGGUGUAAACGCUGUGGACUUGAUGUUGGGGGUGCUCCGAGCACUCUCAGUGUCGAAGCGAAGGUGAUAAGUCCACUGCCUGGGAAGUACGGUCGCAAGGAUGAAACUCAAAGGAAUGGACGG